CAGGCAUUCGAUCAGUGGACAUUAAAGUGUCGUUUUCGGGUUAAAAUGGUGAAACCUCUGACAGUCGCAGUUGUGCUGAGCGUAUUGUCAGGUCAGGGUUCACAAGCUUUUGACUGUUGUGAUAGUUAUACAGAUUUACUAGGCGACUAUCAUCCAUCGGUGUUAUGUCUUGACUACUGCUGUUGGACAAUAGGGGCGGCAUACAAAGGCUGCUGUAGCAAUAUAUUAAGAAUGAUUCCUUCCUCUACUAAUAAGACCGAAGAAUGUGUUCAGCACUGGAUUAUUGAGCACAGAUUGGUGCCGUUGCUGAUUUCUGUUUUUAUUUUUUGGUUCUUACAAAGUUUUUGUGAUUGCUUCACAAGGAUCCUGCGCUAUUGAUUAUAUAUACCAACAUCAU
rnacentral:lncRNA from 1 species